CAUUCUCCCGAUCUCCGUAGUUUUACAAACGCGCGACGCAUAGCAAAUCUGUUUGAAAAUUUUGUUAACAAUAUUCAAUGUUUUCUUCUUCUUGGAAUUUCUAUUUGUUUAGGACGUCGGAAAUCGCAAUAAAUAUUUUUUCUUUGUCGUUUGAUGAACGAAGUAAUUAACUUGAUGUUUUGCCAGCGGGGGCAGAAUCAGGACAAAAUAACGGGGAGUAGGUGAUUUUGAAAAUGCAUAUAAGGCACACGUUUAUGAAAAUGAAGCUAAAAGCA